GACGAACGCUGGCGGCGUGCUUAACACAUGCAAGUCGAACGGAAAGGCCCUGCUUUUGUGGGGUGCUCGAGUGGCGAACGGGUGAGUAACACGUGAGUAACCUGCCCUUGACUUUGGGAUAACUUCAGGAAACUGGGGCUAAUACCGGAUAGGAGCUCCUGCUGCAUGGUGGGGGUUGGAAAGUUUCGGCGGUUGGGGAUGGACUCGCGGCUUAUCAGCUUGUUGGUGGGGUAACGGCCUACCAAGCCGACGAUCAGUAGCCGACCUGAGAGGGUGACCGGCCACAUUGGGACUGAGACACGGCUCAA
rnacentral:rRNA from 1 species